rnacentral:rRNA from 1 species
UACAGAGGUCCCAAGCGUUGUUCGGAUUCACUGGGCGUAAAGGGUGCGUAGGCGGUCGGGUAAGUCUGAUGUGAAAUCUCACAGCUUAACUGUGAAACUGCAUUGGAUACUAUCCGGCUCGAGGAAUGGAGGGGAGACUGGAAUACUUGGUGUAGCAGUGAAAUGCGUAGAUAUCGGGAGGAACACCUGUGGCGAAAGCGGCUCACUGGACCACAACUGACGCUGAUGCGCGAAAGCUAGGGGAGCAAACAGG